CCUACGGGGGGCAGCAGUGGGGGAUAUUGCACAAUGGGGGGAACCCUGAUGCAGCGACGCCGCGUGGGUGAAGAAGCGCCUCGGCGCGUAAAGCCCUGUCAGCAGGGAAGAAAAUGACGGUACCUGAAGAAGAAGCCCCGGCUAACUACGUGCCAGCAGCCGCGGUAAUACGUAGGGGGCAAGCGUUAUCCGGAUUUACUGGGUGUAAAGGGGGCGCAGACGGCGAUGCAAGCCAGGAGUGAAAGCCGGGGGCCCAACCCCGGGACUGCUCUUGGAACUGCGUGGCUGGAGUGCAGGAGGGGCAGGCGGAAUUCUUGGUGUAGCGGUGAAAUGCGUAGAUAUCAGGAGGAACACCGGUGGCGAAGGCGGCCUGCUGGACUGCAACUGACGUUGAGGCCCGAAAGCGUGGGGAGCAAACAGGAUUAGAUACCCCUGUAGUC
rnacentral:rRNA from 1 species